GGUGCCGGGGCCGGGCCGGGUCGGGUCUCCCCGCUCUUUCUGGCCUCCCGGGAAGCCGCUGUGUGAAAACAGGACCUCAGUCCGCCCCCGGAGGGUGAAGACGGGGGCUCCGCUAGCCCUUUACCGCGCGGCUUGUGUCCCGCCCCGGGCCUGGUGGUGAUGGUUGCGGUGUGAGGCCUGGGCACCAUGGAUCCGUUUUUUACUUUGCUGCACUCUUUCUCCUCGAGCUUGUCGGACAAUGAGCUUUCUUCCCUGAAGUUUCUCUGCCGGGGGAAAAUUGGGAAAAGGAAGCUGGAGGCUGUCCGAAGUGGCAGCGAGCUCUUCACCAUCCUUCUCGAGCAGCAGGUGAUUACAAGCGACAAGGUGGCGUUUCUUGAAGGCCUGCUUAAGAGCAUUAAAAGAGAAGAUUUGCUCUCACAGCUAAAGCAGUUCGUAGAGGAAGGAGAAGUUAAUGAUCCUGAUGACGAGCCCGAUGUGCAUGAAAAACGUCUUCAGAAGGUAGCUAUUGAAGUCAUAUGUGAAAAUGUCGGGAGAGACUGGAAAAUGCUGAUACGAAAACUUGGCCUUUCUGAAGUAAAAAUGGACAGAAUACUGGCAGCCAAUCCAUUUAACUUGCGUGAACAGUUGUUUCAGUCACUUCGAGAGUGGCAGAAAUGGAAGGGAAAAGAUGCAAAGGUGAUGCUUUGUAGUUUGAUGAUUCCUUUAAGAGAUUUUAACUUUUAGAAGACCUAAACUCCAUUUUGUAGAAAUUCUCACACUUUUGUUCUACCACUCACCUGAAAACAAGAUUUGCUCUACUGCAGGUCUCAAAACAUUCUAAAAGCUGAAGCCUCAAUUUUGAAAUGAUCCACAUAGAAACCAACUCUCGUUCUCUCUUGGGUUCUUGUGAAGUAAACAGCCCUGUUUAUGUUUUGCUUGAACACGUUAUUGUGAAGAUGCUGCCUUGACAGCUCCUUAGACUGAAGUCCUCUUCAUCCACAGAAGUGGUACAGCAAAAGUAAUCAAGAUGAAAGGUGAGGAUUUUGCCUUUCCUGGUGUGCACUGUCCACCUGGAUUCUGACCUGGAAGGACUUCCUUGACUUGCAACAUUGGUUAGGCAGAGCCAGGUCAAAGAGUUUCAGCACAUUUGAACUCUGACUCCCAAAGGAUGAGGACAAAAUAACGAGCGCUGUCCCAUCAGUAAAGGUAUCUCGUGACUCCAUCGCUCUCACCACCACAGCUGACGCACCUGAGAAAUAUAUUCGCAGGGAACAAAAAUUCAGACCUCAGCUUAGGACGGGGCAAGGGACAACCUGUAAGGUCGGCAGUGAAGACUUAGCUCUCGGCAGUGACCCUGCCACUGGGAAAACCUCAGCACUGGGAACCAAUUGCCUGCGCUGGCUCUCAUAUUCAGAUCUCUGUCGCUAUGCUGUAACUGGUCAUUGCUUGUCAAUUAAUGGCAACAAGGUAAUUCCCUUAAAUUCUUGAAAAUAUUUUGAAAUGUGCAGUUUUUGUAAUUUUUCAGUUU